rnacentral:lncRNA from 1 species
GCUUCGCGAAAUUAAAGAAAAAUCAAUCAAAGGCUUAAUCUUGAAUUGCUAUGCGCACAAAAAGUUGAAGUUUCAAAACUUGAACUAAGACGAUGUUAAAGAAAAAUCAACGUGAAUCAACACGUGGCGUAAAACUUAGAAGACUAAGAAAAAGUUCUAAGAGAAAACAAAGAAACGCACCACAGAAGGGUGUGGGCAGAAGAGAAGGGGCAUAAGAGCCGGGGACAAGAGAGUCAGCAGAAGAGCAGAAGCAUAAGAGGAAUAAGAGAGUAAGAGCGAAAUAAGAGAGAAAUAAGAGAGAGUGAGCAACCCGACUUCACUGGUUUUAUCUUCUUCACACUGGGAGUGGCUCCGGCGUGUGUGUGAGGAGACAGAGGAGGGGUCGUGUGGUCUUUGAUUAUUUGAUCUAACUUAUUCUUUUGGCUGGUAAAAGAGUCAGAUCUGAUACUCACUCACUAUGAUUAAUAUCAUUGAAUGCUUGGUUUCAUGAUAAAUAAUUUGAUACUAAACACAUAUGAAUGAAGUGUAGGAUCACAUCAAACAUUCUCAUUAUGUUUUAAGUAUCACAUUGAACAUGCUAAAUUACUCUGAAAUGAAACAGAUAGUAACACAUAGAAACUGUGAACAACAAAAGAGUAAACACAUGUGAAUGAACGUCAUCAUGAUUAAUAAUGGAUUCUAAAUACUCACAUUCAGAUUAUUCAGUGACAUUAUAACCACCUAAUGGUUAAGAUACUAAAUAAAUAACUAAAAUAUAAACCAAACAUUUCUAAACUAUUUCUGUUACUUAGAGUAAACUUAGGAUUCAUAGUCAAUAAAUUUAACUCUUAAAAGUUCAUGAAACAGUCUGAAAAGCUGUUGGUCUAAAGAACUAAAGAAUAAGGAUUUAUUCUGUCAGAUAAGAUAACUUGGCUUCUGAAGCACAUAGAAAAACGGGAAACAUCUCAUUUUAACACAAAUUUCAUGAUUAGACAGAUUAGUACAUUGCUGAAUGCAUAAGAUGUCAUGAUCAGUCAUUUGUAUUCUUUCACCAAAGGAAUGCAGUCUUUAUCAGUGUAUGGUCGAGCAGGGUUUUACGACCGAGGUCUGGAGGUCAGUGUCCCCCCUUAUCCUGGGGUCCGUAUGUUCACACACUUUAAGACGCUUAAUCUCAAAUGGGAGAUCUGGGUUAAGGUUAAUGUUUAUUUAGAUGGUCAGCAAAUGGAGUCAGUUUGAAAGGUAAUAAAAACUCUGUCUCUGUUCGCCGAACUGACCAAUCCUGAAGAGUCAGAGGUUUAGUCAACCUCCGGUUGGGUCACUUAUUUAACCUGAAAGGGCAAACACGUCUGGAAAGAUUUAUAUCCUGUUUCCUGGGACCAGAUAAGGAAACUUUCCUGUAAGGAAUGUGUGGGUUUCACAUCCAGGGUUGUCUUGAUUGCUACAGUCCCCCCUUCGUCACGGUGGUCCUGUCCAUGGAGCAUCGGGACGACGAGUAGACAACCAUGAAGCAGCAGCAGGUGUAUGCAAAUAGGACUGAUGCGUCUCGUCAUCACUAUGUGAAUCACUAGUACUGCUUUGAGAUAAAAUUAAGCAUGCAUUAAGCUAUCAAAUAAAAUAGUCUUGUUGUUAGACUUUUCUCAGUUAACUAUUGGUAGACUAAUGUGAAAGAAAAUCUCCUAAUUUUCAGUAUUAAUGAGAUUUAGGAAAGCACUAUUUAGUCUGAAUGCUAACUGGAUCUAAAGAUAUAGCUGUUUUCCAUGCUUGCUGGAGAAGUCUGAAAGUUCAAUUUCAGUUUCAAAAAUGGUUAAGACUUAGGUGGAAAAGAAAUGUCUGCUAUAGACAUGUUUAAUCAUCUGUGUAUGAGCAUAGUCAACCUGAAUCACAAACAUCAAAAGUUUACUGCACAGAGUUUCUCUUAAACUUUAUCUGUUAAACUUGGGGAUGAUGCUCUUACCGGUUUGACUAAUUAUCUGCUGUUGAGUCUGAAAUUUGUCAAUCUGAGUCUUAAUGACAGAAAUUUCAGCUUUUAAUCUAUUGAUGAGAUAUUUGACAGCUGACAAGCUGACCAUAUUGACAGAGGAGAGACAAAUGCUAACAAAGAAAGCAGCAACUGGUAUUGCAGUCAUCAAUGUAUCACCACAGCAUUUGGAUAUCUUAUUGGAGUCAUUUAGCUUUGGCUAGGUGACUUCUGCUUUCGCAGGACUCACACCUUCAUGACUCCGCAGUGUUAAUCUCAGUGGUUAGCUGAGUUGUCAUGUUUAUUCACCUUCGAAGUGGAUGAAACCGAUUGAGGUGGAUAAUAAGAUCGUCGUUUCUGAGAGUGUAAUUUACUCUGAUUCUGCCAGUCAUUCACCCCCCUUUGGCGGUGUUGAUGGUUUUUCCUUUGUCUGGGACAAAACCCACCGUGACGGGAGUCUGAAUAACAACAGUUGGUCUCAAAGUUUACCUGGCAUUGGCCUGUGUCAGACCCGGGCCUUGGUGUGUAACUUUGACCUUUGUGAAUGUGUUGAGGUCGAAAAGGUUUUGGAGGCCUGGUUAACCACUCAUUUGGAGGCUUAUCGGAGCCUGAAAAUACACAGUCUGAAGCUUCGUUCAGCUCCAUGGGCAGUGAUUUUGUCUCCAUAGCCAAGAGAGUAACGGGCUCUGCUUUCUUAGCCAAAGUUUGUCGUUGUUUGGCAAAACCUUUUACAGCAAGUUCACGAAGCUGUCGGCUAGUCGAAGUGUUUGGACAAGCUAAGACGCCAAGGUGAUGACUGGUGGUAGGGUGGAGGUUCUGGACGAACAGCGUUUUGAAGUUCAAGUCCUCCUCCAUUUCUGGUUCAUUUCGGAAACCAAAGUAAGCUUCGCGUAAGCGGUUGUAAUACUGUUGGGGAGAUUCUGAUCUCCCUUGUUUAAUAGACAGAGCAGCAGAAAGGCCUGUCUGGGUCAAAUGAUCAGAAAACUCUUCGAUUAAUGCUUGGCAGAGCAAGUCAUAAUUAUUUCUGACAUAAUAAGGCUGUCGUUCAAGGAAACUGCUAACCUCUCGACUUGACGUCGCCUUAAUAAGGUAGAUUUUGUCAUCAAUGGUUGCACCUGGAAAUUUCCUCAGGUAAAAGUCAAUGUCUUUCAAGUAGGUGCAGGUGUCAGUAGCAGCUUGGUGCUCAGGUUCAAAGCGUGCUAUGUUGCGAGCAAUUUUGUCAAGAUCCCUGUCUGAGGGAAAUGGUAAGAAGCCAUCAUGAGGAGGAGAGUAGGACUCUUGGUUUAAGGAUGACCUCUCAGGGUCAAGCAGGGUCCUGUCAUGAUGCUGAGAGAGAUACUUAAGAGUUGGUUUGGAAGGAAGUGAUGGCGCUCUCUCAGGAGGCUGAUCACCUAUCAUUUCUUCAAGAAACGUUUGCUCCAUGCGUUCUCUUUGGGCUCGACCUGACUGGAGGGAGCAUUGUAACUCUCUUUGGGCAUCUUCAAGUUCUUUGUCUGUCUUUUCUUGCCGUUCUUGACAAAGAAUUAACUGUCUUUGAGCUAUCUGGAGCUGGUGCUGUAAGGUAGAAGUUUGCUUCUCCUUAACUUCAAGAGCUUCAGCACGCACUUUGACCAGUGCUUUCAAAGCUUUUACAUCUUCUGUUGCUUGCUCUAGUAGGGAUUCUGACUGUAUCAGAUCCUCUGUGGUCUUAGCAAGCUGCUUAUUCGUGUCAUCAAGUUCUUUCUCCUUUUUGUAAAGGUUUUCACUAAGUCUUUCAAUCUUGUCUUUGAGAUCAAGAUUUUCUUCAUGACUUAUCAGUGAGGGAAGCUUUGACGCUUCACAUCUGGCACUGUGUUUUUCUAAAACACUUAAAGACUUCUUAGUCUCCUCUAGCGUCUUUUUCAGAGCGCUGUUUUCAUCUUUUUGCGCCUUUAUCUUUGCUAAAGCGCAUUCCAGCAAGUAGUCUUUAUACUCAAGCUGAGAAGACAUCAUGACAGACAUGCAUCUAGUGAGCUCUUUGUCACGAAGUGUCGUGGUUAAGGCUGUUUCCAGUAAGUCAGCCAUUUCAUCCUCCGGAUUGGAGGGUUUGGCCUUAUGAAUCUUAGUCAUGUACUGAGGUAUCAGCUGACUAGUUAAGUUUGCUAACACUGUGUGUAUGUCCCUCAGGGGGUCUCCCUGGCUGGACUCUUUUGUGUUAGGCAUGUUUGGUUUUGGUAAAGAGGAGCAGGUGGUUGGUUGAUGAGUUUGAGUUGGCUUAAAAUGAAAAGAAGAAGCAAAAUAUCAAAUUAAGUGAGUUAAUCGACUUAAUUUAUCAGUGCUUGAUAAAGAGGAAGAGCCUAUCUGAGUAGAUCUCUAAUGAAGAGAAAAAUAACAUAAAGUUAAAUUCAUUUCAAUGAAAAUUGAAAUAAAACAAGGUGAAAUAAUGUUAAAUUAAAUUUAACAUCAGAUACAGAACCAUUGAAUAAAGGGUUCAAAUUGUCUCCGUGUUGCAGAGAUCAGCAAAGCUUAAAUAAACUGCCUGAUGCAGUUGGAUGAAUCUGAAACCAAUGAAAUUGUCAAUUUAAGGAAUUAACUCUGAAGUUAAUUCACAGAUCGCAAUAAAGCCAAAGAUUCAACUACCCAAUUCAUCUGAAAUGGUAAAAUAGAUUUCAAAUAUUAAUUAAUUUGUUCAUUAAUUAAUUAAUCUUAUGAGGAGGGUUAAUACAUUCAUGUAUUAUAGGGAACAGUAAAACUGCUCAAUGGUGUGAUAAGUAACAACAGAUCAGGUGAUUGAUUCAAGGAGUUACUUUAUCAAUACAUUAUGUAGGCUCUUAUAACAAAGAUAAAAAUCAAAAAUCAAUGAUCAAUGAUUUAGAAUAAGCACAUCAAACUUCAUCAACCAAGUCAAUCACUUGAGUUAUGUCUGUAGAGUGUUACACACUGACUACAGAGAGGCAGUACAGCUGGCUGAUACUGCAGGCAGAUAAUAGCAGUGUUAGCUCAAUACCAAAAACAACCAUGUGGGGCAGUAUGGAGUUGGGAAGUGUGCAGGAAGGGGCCUUUAGGCUCUGCCUCCUUGAAGGGCCUUAUCUGCUUAAGGCCAAAGGGUCAGUCUCUCCACUGACAACAAAGGGUUAACAUUUCACAGCAGGCUGCGUCUGCACCCUCAAACAUAGAACUUUACACCAUCUGCUCAGGCAGAUUGGUUCAAUAGAAUCAUUUACAGGAACAAGAAUCAAAGUGACAAAUUCUUAAACAGCAGAUUCAACUGCAGACUUUAAAAUCACAAAUGCAGCGAUUUGUGAUCACAAAUUUUGUCUGAAUUCAUUCAAACAACAACCUCCCACUGUUACAGUGGUUUCCUGUGACAGGUAGUUAAUCUGUCAGGGGAAAGGAGGAAAUCUGAAUCCCAUAUAGUUACUAGAACUUCGUAGCAGACUAUAGAGACAAGAAUCAAAGUGACAAAUCCCUCAACAGCAGAUUCAACUGCAGACUUUAAAAUCACAAAUGCGGCGAUUUGUGAACACAAAUUUUGUCUGAAUUCAAUCAAACAACAACCUCCCACUGUUACAGUGGUUUCCUGUGACAGGUAGCUAAUCUGUCAGGGGAAAGGAGGAAAAUCUGAAUCCCAUAUAGUUACUAGAACUUCGUAGCAGACUAUAGAGACAAGAAUCAAAGUGACAAAUCCCUCAACAGCAGAUUCAACUGCAGACUUUAAAAUCACAAAUGCGGCGAUUUGUGAACACAAAUUUUGUCUGAAUUCAAACAAACAACAGCCUCCCACUGUUACAGUGGUUUCCUGUGACAGGUAGCUAAUCUGUCAGGGGAAAGGAGGAAAUCUGAAUCCCAUAUAGUUACUAGAACCUCGUAGCCGACUAUAUAGACAAGAAUCGAAGUGACAAAUCCCUCAACAGCAGAUUCAACUGCAGACUUUAAAAUCACAAAUGCGGCGAUUUGUGAACACAAAUUUUGUCUGAAUUCAAUCAAACAACAACCUCCCACUGUUACAGUGGUUUCCUGUGACAGGUAGCUAAUCUGUCAGGGGAAAGGAGGAAAUCUGAAUCCCAUAUAGUUACUAGAACCUCGUAGCAGACUACAGAGACUUCAGGGGCUUGAAACCACAGCUCGGAGCAUCGCGAACACUGGGUUCAGCCAAAGGCCUUAAAUACAAGCGUACGGCGACGCAACAAUCGUGCACUUAAAUAUUGGACAGUCUAGACAGAGCAGAAGAAGCAGUCUCACUGCUACUCAGAACAACAUUUCACGCUGUCCAGCUCAAACACAGACUACAGGCAUGUAGUACAAAAGUGUGUGAAACACAGGGCAUAAAGCUUUUAUGCAUAGAUCAGGAAAACAUCAGAACUUAGUCAAGCAACUUCAGCAAGCAUAGCAUUGAUAGUGAUUAAGUCUAAAACAGCCUGGGAAUAAGUUUCUCUCAUCAAUUUGGAAGGCUAAGUUUUAGGUUGUCUGUUAGUAUCCAGAAGUUUUGUUUGAAACGCCUCACGCAGGGGCUCCAAAAUAUAUGUAGUGAUUUGAAAUGAGCCUCAUACGGUCGCACCAAAAUAUAUGUAGCGAUUUGAAAUGAGCCUCACAAGGCCGCACCAAAAUAAUACUUGGCGAUUGCAAUUCAUAAUAAAUGUCUGAAGAUUAAUAAUCUCAAAUUAUGACAUUUAUGCACUCGUUGAAAGGGGCACCACCCACCCUUAAUGGUGGGAAAAUAAAGAAAACAAAAGUUUAAUUCAGAAAUCAAACAUCAAGUCAGUUUUAAUUAAUCAGUCUUAAUUAAUCAGUCUCAUAUCUUAAGUCGAAAUUCUAAUUUCAGGGACUCCACUUCUGGAAGAACACUAACAGACAGGAACUUAGAAAAAUAAUGAUCUGUUUAUUACAGGAUAAAUGAUGGUACAACACACAUGCAAUAAAUGAUAAGAUGAUGAAGAUAAAUAAUAAUAGGUGAAUAAAUAAAGAUUCUGAGUCAGGCUAGGAGCACUAAAGUUAAUGAUAGUGAGUGAAUAUGCGCUAACAUAUUAACCUACACUAACUUUGGUGUCGAGAUAAACUCGGAUGUGGAUUUGGAGGAAUCUAAGAUCACCAGAAAUAAGAGGAUAUCUGAGUUGAACGCAGGAGACAGCACCAGCCCUCUUUAGAGCUCUGGAGGUUUGCAUACUUAAGUGAGACUGGUCCUUGGAGAAGAUGGAGCAGGUUCCGAAGGUCCGGGCUACUGGCGGUUCGAGCGGUUCAGCUCAGAAGACGACUGAAGUCAGCCGAAGGAUGAGCCAGGAGUUGCAGCACUCGGGCCCGAAGCAAAGCCAGCGCCUGUGGAUCCUGUGGAUGCUCGUUUGGGUACUUCUUUGGUCUCACUUAAAACUCUGGUACAGAGGAUGACCUGGGCCUGCUGGGUUGCGUUCAGAGGUGACUUUGAAUCACGCAGAAAACUCAGAAAAACGAGACUCGAGCAGAGAAAACUUUCAAAAAUGGCUUCGCGAAAUUAAAGAAAAAUCAAUCAAAGGCUUAAUCUUGAAUUGCUAUGCGCACAAAAAGUUGAAGUUUCAAAACUUGAACUAAGACGAUGUUAAAGAAAAAUCAACGUGAAUCAACACGUGGCGUAAAACUUAGAAGACUAAGAAAAAGUUCUAAGAGAAAACAAAGAAACGCACCACAGAAGGGUGUGGGCAGAAGAGAAGGGGCAUAAGAGCCGGGGACAAGAGAGUCAGCAGAAGAGCAGAAGCAUAAGAGGAAUAAGAGAGUAAGAGCGAAAUAAGAGAGAAAUAAGAGAGAGUGAGCAACCCGACUUCACUGGUUUUAUCUUCUUCACACUGGGAGUGGCUCCGGCGUGUGUGUGAGGAGACAGAGGAGGGGUCGUGUGGUCUUUGAUUAUUUGAUCUAACUUAUUCUUUUGGCUGGUAAAAGAGUCAGAUCUGAUACUCACUCACUAUGAUUAAUAUCAUUGAAUGCUUGGUUUCAUGAUAAAUAAUUUGAUACUAAACACAUAUGAAUGAAGUGUAGGAUCACA